CUAUUCUGAAGAUCCUGAAGACAGUUUCUUUCCAGUUUCAGCAGUCUGCUUUGCAUUAUCAAUUUGUUAAGAAACUCUCUCUCCCUCUCUCUCUUUUUUUUUUGUAGAGCUGUGCAAAAGGAAACUUCCAUCCAGACUGUCUGAAUUAUCCAAAAAUUCUGAACUGAUGGCAUCCAAAUGAAUAAGACUUUACAGAACUGCACUUGGAGAGUUGAUUGGAUUUGUCAGUUUUCCUGUGGAUAGAAAGUCCUGGGUGGCUUGACUGAAAGUAUGCUAGAACAUAAAUAAUCACCAGAUUUCCAGAGGCUUCAUGUUCUGACGUGAUGAAAGAUCUGACCCAGGAAUUUCAAGUUCAUCAGUGGGGCGGGGUGUGUGUGGGGUAGCCAGGACCCAACCCCAGCUUCCGUCUGCCCCCAUUGGCUGGACUCCAGUUACUCUCAUGCUUGAAGGGUUGGGUCAGUGCUGCAGUUCCCUAGUGGAUCCAUCUUCCCUUACAAGGAAAUGGUUUGUGCUUCUUUCUGGAACUUGAGGCUCACUGUGGUACAGCUACAAAAGUCUUACAAACCUUUAUUGAGUUGGCAAAGAGGUUUUAUAACCUGAAAGAAAUUGUCUUCAUGGUGGCCUGCCCCUCACUCCUCCUACUCCAGUAUCUCCUCCUGAGAUACUGUAUACUUGAGACCAGCAAAAUGCCAAUCCUAUAGGGUCCAAAGCUCUCUAAGAUUUACCCAAGAUACACUGGUAGCCCUAAUUCCUUGAAGCUACAACUUUUCUAAAGGAG
rnacentral:lncRNA from 1 species